rnacentral:rRNA from 1 species
AUGAACGCUGGCGGCGUGCCUAAUACAUGCAAGUCGAGCGAACAGACGAGGAGCUUGCUCCUCUGACGUUAGCGGCGGACGGGUGAGUAACACGUGGAUAACCUACCUAUAAGACUGGGAUAACUUCGGGAAACCGGAGCUAAUACCGGAUAAUAUAUUGAACCGCAUGGUUCAAUAGUGAAAGACGGUUUUGCUGUCACUUAUAGAUGGAUCCGCGCCGCAAUAGCUAGUUGGUAAGGUAACGGCUUACCAAGGCAACGAUGCGUAGCCGACCUGAGAGGGUGAUCGGCCACACUGGAACUGAGACACGGUCCAGACUCCUACGGGAGGCAGCAGUAGGGAAUCUUCCGCAAUGGGCGAAAGCCUGACGGAGCAACGCCGCGUGAGUGAUGAAGGUCUUCGGAUCGUAAAACUCUGUUAUUAGGGAAGAACAAAUGUGUAAGUAACUAUGCACGUCUUGACGGUACCUAAUCAGAAAGCCACGGCUAACUACGUG